rnacentral:rRNA from 1 species
GAUGAACGCUAGCGGGAGGCUUAACACAUGCAAGUCGUGGGGCAGCAUUUGGUAGCAAUACUGAGAUGGCGACCGGCGCACGGGUGAGUAACGCGUAUGCAACCUACCCGGUACAGGGGGAUAGCCCGGAGAAAUUCGGAUUAAUACCCCAUAAUGAUAUAGAGAGGCAUCUUUUUAUAUUUAAAGCUUCGGCGGUACUGGAUGGGCAUGCGUAAGAUUAGCUAGUUGGUAGGGUAACGGCCUACCAAGGCUCCGAUCUUUAGGGGUCCUGAGAGGGUGAUCCCCCACACUGGUACUGAGACACGGACCAGACUCCUACGGGAGGCAG